AUUCCAGCUCCAAUAGCGUAUAUUAAAGUUGUUGCAGUUAAAACGCUCGUAGUCGGAUUUCGGGGCGGGCCGACCGGUCUGCCGAUGGGUAUGCACUGGCCGGCGCGUCCUUCCACCCGGAGACCGCGCCUACUCUUAACUGAGCGGGCGCGGGAGACGGGUCUUUUACUUUGAAAAAAUCAGAGUGUUUCAAGCAGGCAGUCGCUCUUGCAUGGAUUAGCAUGGGAUAAUGAAAUAGGACUCUGGUGCUAUUUUGUUGGUUUCGAACACCGGAGUAAUGAUUAACAGGGACAGUCAGGGGCACUCGUAUUCCGCCGAGAGAGGUGAAAUUCUUAGACCAGCGGAAGACGAACCACUGCGAAAGCAUUUGCCAGGGAUGUUUUCAUUA
rnacentral:rRNA from 1 species